rnacentral:lncRNA from 1 species
CACUGAGGCUGCUCCCACUCUGGAACAUUGUCCAGCCCCCAGCUGAGACCUGCAAGUCUCCUGAGGUUUGGGUAUCUCUCCCCUGCCCAGCACUGGGGGAACAGUUUUUAACCUGCACUUUUGUUCCCUCUCGUGCCUCUGAUCAGCCCCUGCAGAAGACACAACUCCUGGAGCAGAAGUCACGACCGUGCCUACAACACCUGGAACCCCAGCGACAAGUUCACCUGCUGCAUCAGUCCCUUCAACUCCUGAAACAACCACUGCCACUAGUAAGUAAUGCAGUUUUACCCUGGUUUAUACCCUUAAUUCCCUACCAAAGCUGGAAUCUGGCAAGGCUCCCUGUCUCCACUGCAUGCAUCAUCUCACAAAAUUAAUGUUGAACCUUGGGGAUAAUUUUUUUGGCUUCCAUACAAAUCGAGGGACCUGAAUUGUUGGCAUUGAUACAGGAGGAAUACCUGUUCUGCUACAAGUUCUAAGGAACUGGAAUUCACU